AUCGAUGUGGACGGUGGAAGCGUAAGUUUGACCCCAGACCACUCCCUCGGUUUCUCUCUCUCUUCCGCUUCAUCUCCCACGCAUCUUCUCCCAAAUCUCUGGCCACGGCCUAUGGAUCUCCGGCCGACGCCCCGCUCAGCAUGCGUAGCCGCGCCCCCUUUUUCUGCCUCCAUCGGCUUCAAAUCGACCACCACAUAACAAGGCACAGGGGUUUGGGGAAGUCAUGCUCCAGGUGGGGGUCAUGGUGCCAAGGAGGCAGUAUGCAUGAGAACGAAUCGGCGGCUGCAGCUUGGUCUCUUCGGGGACGAAGCCGUGGAGGAAGGGGAUUCCACCGUCUUGGAGGAGAGGAAGAGACCCUGCGCCGCUAGAGCUGAGAGGGAGCAGGCAGGCCGGCCAGCCAGCAGGGCAGAGAAUCACCGGUGCCGGAAGGGACGAUGACCACGCCGUUGGGGAGGAUGCCCAUCGCAGCGGAAGAGAGGAACACAUCGCCGCCACCAUACCGAUGACAUCAGGCACACCUUGAUUCCACACACCCGCCAAGGAUGAAGAGAUGAGAUUCAAAUAAUGGAGUCGAUUAAGGGCAGGGGCGAGCUAGAGUGCGGCCGCUACGGUGCUGCAGUUCCUCGCCGACCAGUUCCCCGCAAACGACGACACCACGCUCGGCACGGAUGAUGUGGGGAGGCCAACCUUCAGAUUGUCGGUGCCGCUCCUCGACUCUCCAGCUAGCAGACCUGACUCCCCUUCCGCUUCUCCUCAUGCACUACCCUGCUGUUGGUGUUUGUGUCGUGGUCCCAGUCGCAGUCACGUCUUCACCCAAAAUCUUGUGCGGCUACCAAGAAGACCAGAUGGUGGUGCAUAUUUGGAGUUGUAUGAUGCUUAGAGAAGCACUGUUGAGAGAUGUUGGCACCGACGCAAGGUACUGCACCUACCGGAAGUCUGGUGGAUUUGUGUCGGCAGUGGAUAGCUGUGCUCCUAGGAGGGAUGCGCCAACAAGCGGUCCAGCUCCGAUCAGUUGUUCUGACUGCCUUGGCAAGAAGCAGCAGGCGGUUGAGAAGGCUUUGUUUGCUGGAGCAGGGGUUGGUCUCCAUCGACGAUUUGAUCUCCAUUUGUGGCACGUGCGAGGAGCCCUCCUCUGUGGCAUAUGCUAACCUAGGUCUUAGCGAGUGGUACCGCUGAUCUUGCAAGAUGAUUGACGGGUGCAUGUUCUUUUGGAGCGCAUGUUGGAUAGGGUAAAUAGGGGCACCACCAGGUUGAUGGCAGUGCUGGGGAAGGUAGAGCGUGCGGGUGUGCUAGAUGUGCUCCGGUGAGCUUUUUGUAUUGUGCCGUGGUCGUCCUGAUUGGGCAUCUGUUGUAGGCACGUUCAGUAGCUGGUGUUUUGCUGAAAAAGAUGCUGGUGUUUUGGUGUAUGACAAAUAUAGCGCGAGCUCCAGGUGGGGUGGAUUGUGCUGGCGUGGGUAUGUGUGACUCCAUGUAUUUUUUGGCUAUGGUACUUUUUGAAAUAGAUACAGGAAUUGGAAAUCCA